rnacentral:rRNA from 1 species
AUUGAACGCUGGCGGCAGGCCUAACACAUGCAAGUCGAACGAGUGGCGGACGGGUGAGUAAUGUCUGGGAAACUGCCUGAUGGAGGGGGAUAACUACUGGAAACGGUAGCUAAUACCGCAUACCAUCGGAUGUGCCCAGUUGGGAUUAGCCAGUAGGUGGGGUAAGGGCUCACCUGGGCGACGAUCCCUAGCUGGGCUGAGAGGAUGACAAGCCACACUGGAACUGAGACACGGUCCUGCGUCCUACGGGAGGCAGAAGGGGGGAAUAUUGGACAAUGGGCGCAAGCCUGAUGCAGCCAUGCAGCGUGUAUGAAGAAGGCCUGCGGGUUGUAAAGUACUUUCAGCGGGGAGGCGUUACCCGCAGAAGAAGCACCGGCUAACUCCGUGCCAGCAGCCGCGGUAAUUC